rnacentral:tRNA from 1 species
GCCUGGGUGGCUCAGUCGGUAGAGCAUCUGACUUCGGCUCAGGUCAUGAUCUCCGGCUUGUGAGUUCGAGCCCUGCAUUGGGCU